AGAAUCAACGCUGGCGGCGUGCCUAACACAUGCAAGUCGAACGCGAAGGAAGACUUCGGUUUUCUGGAGAGUGGCGCACGGGUGAGUAACACGUGGGUAAUCUGCCUUUGGGUGGGGAAUAACGAUCCGAAAGGGUCGCUAAUACCGCAUAACGCAGCGGCACCGCAUGGUGACAGUUGGUUAAAGGGGGGGAUCGAAAGACCUCUCGCCUAAAGAGGAGCCCGCGCCCGAUUAGCUAGUUGGUGAGGUAACGGCUCACCAAGGCUUCGAUCGGUAGCCGCCUGA
rnacentral:rRNA from 1 species